rnacentral:rRNA from 1 species
AACGAACGCUGGCGGCAUGCCUAACACAUGCAAGUCGAACGAGACCUUCGGGUCUAGUGGCGCACGGGUGCGUAACGCGUGGGAAUCUGCCCUUUGCUUCGGAAUAACAGUUAGAAAUGACUGCUAAUACCGGAUGAUGUCUUCGGACCAAAGAUUUAUCGGCAAAGGAUGAGCCCGCGUAGGAUUAGGUAGUUGGUGGGGUAAAGGCCUACCAAGCCGACGAUCCUUAGCUGGUCUGAGAGGAUGAUCAGCCACACUGGGACUGAGACACGGCCCAGACUCCUACGGGAGGCAGCAGUGGGGAAUAUUGGACAAUGGGCAAAAGCCUGAUCCAGCAAUGCCGCGUGAUGAUGAAGGCC